rnacentral:rRNA from 1 species
GUCCUUUAGAAUUUGAUUUAAGGUCUAACCUGCCCACUGAAUUAUUUUAAAUGGCCGCAGUAAUUUGACUGUGCAAAGGUAGCAUAAUCAUUAGUUUUUUAAUUAAAAGCUUGAAUGAAGGGUUGGACGAAGUAAAAUCUGUCUCUAAUUAAUUUAAUUUAGAAUUUAACUUUUAAGUCAAAAGGCUUAAAUAUUAUUAAAAGACGAGAAGACCCUAUAGAUCUUUAUAAUUUAUUUAUUAAUUUUAAUUAAGAAUUUUUUAAAUUUUAUUAAUAUAAUUAUUUUAUUGGGGUAAUGUAAAGAUUGAUUUAAUUCUUUUUUAUUAUUAACAUUAAUAUAUGUAUUUAUGAUCCAAUUUUAUUGAUUAUAAGAUUAAGUUACCUUAGGGAUAACAGCGUAAUUUUUUUAGAGAGUUCUUAUCGAUAAAAAAGUUUGCGACCUCGAUGUUGGAUUAAAGAUUAUUUCAGGUGCAGAAGUUUGAAAAAUUUGGUCUGUUCGACCAUUAAAUCUUUACAUGAUCUGAGUUCAGACCGGCGUAAGCCAGGUCGGUUUCUAUCUUUAAUAAGUUAAAAUAUUUUAGUACGAAAGGACCAAUUAUUUAAUAUAAAAUAUUUAAAUUUUGAUUAUUAAUA